UAACUAACUCAAAACCCCCCCAAACCUGCUCUCCAACCUCAAACAUCGAACUCCAGACAUCAAAUUCGAAACAUCGAAAGGUGAAAAUCACGAAAGGAGUUUUUCAAUUCGAAGGGAAUGUGAAUUGGACUGCAGUGGUGUUGUUUGAAGGAACAGAGAUAGAAGAUGGUGAUGGCGGAAGUGGGUAUAACGGUGGUGCACACCAAGUGUUUGACAGAUUGCUUAUUUGAGUUAAGAUGGCUGGUAGUCACGAAGAGCUGCUGCGCUGCUAGGACAGCAAACUAGACACUAAUAGAGACUCUUGAUCGAGGGACUUCUGCCGACUCAAGUGUCUCUGAUGCCAUAUAGAAGACAAAACGGCAUGGGAGAAUUGAGAAUUCUAUGUAAGAGAAACCAGUAAGUUUCUUUGUAGGGUUUUCUAGUAUCUUCUCAGAAGUUUGUCUUCCGGAUACUUUCCAGGAUGUAAUUUAAGCAGAGCAUCAUGGGUACUGAGAACAAAUAAUGAAGCUCUAAAGAAGUACUUAUGCUGCUGAAUAUUUUUAUUUUCUUAUUUACCUGUGUAAUCAUCUUAUGACUAUUAAUUCUAAGCUUAGUGUGUUCCUUUUCCUCUGUGC